UACGGGGGGGGGCAAGCGUUGUUCGGAAUUACUGGGCGUAAAGGGCUGGUAGGCGGCCAACUAAGUCGGAUGUGAAAUCCCCAGGCUUAACCUGGGAACUGCAUCCGAUACUGGUCGGCUUGAAUCCGGGAGAGGGAUGCAGAAUUCCAGGUGUAGCGGUGAAAUGCGUAGAUAUCUGGAGGAAUACCGGUGGCGAAGGCGGCAUCCUGGACCGGCAUUGACGCUGAACAGCGAAAAGCUAGGGGGAGCAAACGGGG
rnacentral:rRNA from 1 species